rnacentral:tRNA from 1 species
GCGGCCGUGGCGGAAUUGGUAGACGCGCCAGGCUUAGAACCUGGUGAUGCAAAUCGUGGGGGUUCGAGUCCCUCCGGCCGCA